rnacentral:lncRNA from 1 species
CUCUCAUUUCAGCCAACUCCUGAACUUUUAGUUUUACUGCUUAAAGUGCGUGCCUGUGCAUAUACGCAUUCAUAUAUGUGAACAUUUAUGGGUUGCAUGGUGUCAGGGUUGGGGGUUGGGGAUUGAGAUAUACCCAGAGGUCAACUUCAGCUGUUUCUCAGUCAAGACCCAUCCUGUGUUUUGAGACCGGAUCUCUCACAGUCUAGGGAUCACCAAUGCACCUAGGCUAGCUGGCCAGCAAGCCUCAGCCAUCCACUUGCCUCUACCUUUUCAAUACUGAGAUUACACACGUGUGCCACCACCCCUAGCAUUUUAACGUGGCCCUGAGAUUGAACUCUGAUCCUCGUGCUUUGGGCAGUAAGCAUUUUACUGACCAAGUUAUUGCCAUGUAAGGGAAUAUGUUCUUGGAUCGUGGAGGAGACUGGCAAUUACUGGAUCCCACCCCAGCCACACAGCUGAUAUUGUAACUGAAGCACAAGGUUUUUAAAUUAGACCUGACUUUUCCAUCUCCUUAGGAGCUAAUAACUCCCCAUAGAUUUUUCUUUUAAAGCUGUCUGAUUGAUUGGAUAUCAAAUCAGUUUAUAGGCAAGCAAUAAUAAUACUAGCAACGUCUUAAUUUUUGUUAUUCAAAUUAUAAGGUUAAUUUGCUAUACAUAAGCUUGGUGUCAUUUUCUCUAUGCCUCUUCUUCAAACAUACAUGGGUUUCCUCUAUCUUAGGAGAGUGGGGCUUAGCUCAGUGAUAGAGCGCUUAUGCAUGAAGCACGAUAGCCUGGCUUUGGUCCUCAACAUUGAAGAAAACAAACAAACAAUCAACAUGACAGAAAAAUCCACAAAAUGGCCUUUACUUUUUCUGUCCUUUGCACCUGGACAAGGCUUCCUCUGCCUUCAUUGCUGGAGUUCCAACACAUGCUACCUAUAUUUUUUUCCUCACGUUUUAUUUACCCCUCAGAAUCCAAAGGCUUAAUGUCUGUUUUAGUCUCUUUUCCACUGGCUGCUGAGCGAGCUCCCCUGUAAUUCUUUCAGUUCACCAUGAAGUCCCACACCUGGAGUUCCCGUGGCUCUCCUGACUCCUCACAUCUAAUUUCUUGUUCUUCCACCACCUCUGUCUCUCGUGGGCACCACCCAGUGAACAUUUCUGCAUAGACAUCAUUCUGUCCUCUAAGUCUCGAUGGCCAGGGCCUCAGUCUUGUAAGCUGUUCUCCUGCUUGGCUUGUUUGCCUACCCAUCUACAUAACUCUAUCUUUUCAUUAAGAGAGCUCUGUCAUUGCUUUAGCUAUCUUGGCCUAAGCAUCGGAUCUUCAGUGUCCACCUGACUCCUUUCCCCUUUGAUUUACCCAGUGUCACAAUGUCACAAUGCCUGUGUCAUCUCUUCUUUUGCAUCUGUGCUGUCCUUAUGAGUCCUCUUACUCAUGCCCAAAUGACUCUGGGUGCACUGUUAUCAUUUUCGUUGUCACCAAGGCUACAGUAAUCACCUUCUUUCUUUUUUUUCCGUAGAUGGUGCUGCAGCUCUUUCCCCCAUUGCUUAAUAUCUUGAUGGCAUUUUAAAGACCAUGGGUUCUGAAUCAACCUGUUGCCGUUUUAUCCAAGAUUCUUCACCAAAAGUCCUCUAUCCUUGCUGGACCGUGGUGCCCACUGACCAUGAAUGAAAUUCUUCUCCCUCGCCACCAACGUGCUCCCAUUCACCUGGGACCCAGCAGCAUGUCUACAGCCACCUCUGUUCAUGACUUCCCCAUCCUCUUGACACAUUACCAUCACCUGAGAAAUACCGAGCAGCAAAGAACUUCUGCAAUGCCAACCAAACUAUCACAGUUGUUCAUAUCCCUGCUUCUCCUGCUGUGUCCGCAGCUCUUUUUGACCAUUCCUACAGGUGACAACGUUGUACACACUCAUGACAGUCUUUCCAUUUGUCUAGCAGAUUCUUUUCCUUCUUGCUUGCAUAUGUGAGAUGUGCGACUAGGGAACAGACUAGCAACCAGUGAUCCAUUUGGCUUGGGCUAUGCACACCCAUCUUCUAAUAAU